GGUAUAGGUUUUCGGACCUAGAGACCGGCGCACGGGUGCGUAACGCGUAUGCAAUCUACCUUUUACAGAGGGAUAGCCCAGAGAAAUUUGGAUUAAUACCUCAUAGUAUUAUUGAAUGGCAUCAUUUAAUAAUUAAAGUCACAACGGUAAAAGAUGAGCAUGCGUCCCAUUAGCUUGUUGGUAAGGUAACGGCUUACCAAGGCAACGAUGGGUAGGGGUCCUGAGAGGGAGAUCCCCCACACUGGUACUGAGACACGGACCAGACUCCUACGGGAGGCAGCAGUGAGGAAUAUUGGUCAAUGGGCGCAAGCCUGAACCAGCCAUGCCGCGUGCAGGAUGAAGCAUCUAUGGUGUGUAAACUGCUUUUGUACGAGAAGAAACACUCCUACGUGUAGGAGCUUGACGGUAUCGUAAGAAUAAGGACCGGCUAACUCCGUGCCAGCAGCCGCGGUAAUACGGAGGGUCCAAGCGUUAUCCGGAAUCAUUGGGUUUAAAGGGUCCGUAGGCGGUUUUGUAAGUCAGUGGUGAAAGCCCAUCGCUCAACGGUGGAACGGCCAUUGAUACUGCAAGACUUGAAUUAUUGGGAAGUAACUAGAAUAUGUAGUGUAGCGGUGAAAUGCUUAGAGAUUACAUGGAAUACCAAUUGCGAAGGCAGGUUACUACCAAUAUAUUGACGCUGAUGGACGAAAGCGUGGGGAGCGAACAGGAUUAGAUACCCUGGUAGUCCACGCCGUAAACGAUGGAUACUAGCCGUUCGGAGCAAUCUGAGUGGCUAAGCGAAAGUGAUAAGUAUCCCACCUGGGGAGUACGUUUCGCAGAAUGAAACUCAAAGGAAUUGACGGG
rnacentral:rRNA from 1 species